GAUGAACGCUAGCGGCAGGCCUAAUACAUGCAAGUCGAACGGUGUCUUCGGACAUAGUGGCGCACGGGUGCGUAACACGUAUGCAACCUACCUUACAUUGGGGGAUAGCCUUUCGAAAGGGAGAUUAAUACCGCAUAAGACAGUAGCUGGGCAUCCAGCAGCUGUUAAAGAUUUAUCGAUGUAAGCUGGGCAUGCGUCCAAUUAGCUAGUUGGUGAGGUAACGGCUCACCAAGGCAAUGAUUGGUAGGGGAACUGAGAGGUCAAUCCCCCACACUGGCACUGAGAUACGGGCCAGACUCCUACGGGAGGCAGCAGUAGGGAAUAUUGGGCAAUGGACGCAAGUCUGACCCAGCCAUGCCGCGCGCAGGAUGAGGGCGUUAUGCGUUGUAAACUGCUUUUAUACAGGAAGAAACGACUCUUGCGAGAGGCAUUGACGGUACUGUAUGAAUAAGCACCGGCUAACUCCGUGCCAGCCGCCGCCGUAAAAC
rnacentral:rRNA from 1 species